rnacentral:rRNA from 1 species
UACGAAGGGUGCAAGCGUUAUUCGGAAUCACUGGGCGUAAAGGGUGUGUAGACGGUUUAUUAAGUUCGUCGUUAAAGGCUCCGGCCUAACUGGAGUACUGCGAUGAAAACUGGUUGACUAGAGGGUGAGAGAGAGAAGUGGAAUUCCUGGAGUAGCGGUAAAAUGCGUGGAUCUCAGGAGGAACACCAAUGGCGAAGGCAGCUUCUUGGCUCAUUCCUGACGUUGAGGCACGAAAGCGUGGGGAGCAAACAGG